UCCCUGGCAGUCCAAUGGUUAGGACUCCAUGCUUUCACUGCUGAGGGCACAGGUUCAAUCCCUGGUCAGGGAA
rnacentral:tRNA from 1 species